UGGCGAACGGGUGAGUAACACGUGGGUGAUCUGCCCUGCACUCUGGGAUAAGCCUGGGAAACUGGGUCUAAUACCGGAUAGGACCAUGCUUUAGUGUGUGUGGUGGAAAGUUUUUUCGGUGUAGGAUGAGCCCGCGGCCUAUCAGCUUGUUGGUGGGGUAAUGGCCUACCAAGGCGGCGACGGGUAGCCGGACUGAGAGGUUGGUCGGCCACAUUGGGACUGAGAUGCGGCCCAG
rnacentral:rRNA from 1 species